rnacentral:rRNA from 1 species
UACGUAGGGUGCAAGCGUUAAUCGGAAUUACUGGGCGUAAAGCGUGCGCAGGCGGUGAUGUAAAACAGAUGUGAAAUCCCCGGGCUCAACCUGGGAACUGCAUUUGUGACUGCAUCGCUAGAGUACGGCAGAGGGGGAUGGAAUUCCGCGUGUAGCAGUGAAAUGCGUAGAUAUGCGGAGGAACACCGAUGGCGAAGGCAAUCCCCUGGGCCUGUACUGACGCUCAUGCACGAAAGCGUGGGGAGCAAACAGG